rnacentral:rRNA from 1 species
UACGUAGGGGGCAAGCGUUGUCCGGAUUUAUUGGGCGUAAAAGGCUUGUAGGUGGCCACGCCAAGUCGGAUGUGAAAUCUCCCGGCUCAACUGGGAGGGGUCAUUCGAUACUGGUGGGCUCGAGGCCGGUAGGGGGAAGCGGAAUUCCCGGUGUAGUGGUGGAAUGCGCAGAUAUCAGGAGGAACACCGGUGGCGAAGGCGGUUCUCUGGGCAUUACCUGACGCUGAGGAGCGAAAGCGUGGGGAGCGAACAGG